UGGGUACAGUAUACUUGAUUGAUGGUAUGUGAGAAGGUAGGGCUCCCCAAGCCCCUCUCCUUUUUCAGGGGGUCUGGGAUGGAAACUAUGUAGAGGUCAGGAGAUUCUCAGUGUGUUGGGGAUGAGUUGGGGAAAGGACUCCUCAGAAGCUGAGGGCCUCUGUCUUCCCCUUGCUCUCCCCAGGGCUGGUGGUCCAGGAGAUGUUUACUCCUUGAAUGCCAUGUGGACCAUGAGGUCUACCACCCGGUUGCUGUAGCAAAGUUCAUUGUCAUACCAGGAAAUGAGCUUAACAGAAUGGUCAUUGAGGCAAUGCCAGCCCCAGCAUCAAAGAUGGAAGAGCGGUUGUCACUGUUAAAGUCGAGGACAGACCUGGUCCUCCCUGUAGCCCAGGAUGCCCUUGAGGGGGCCCUCCGAUGUCUGCUUCACCACCUUCUCGACGUCAUCGUAUUUGGCAGCUUUCUCCAGGCAGCAGGU
rnacentral:lncRNA from 1 species